rnacentral:misc_RNA from 1 species
GAUGAAGAACGUAGCGAAAUGCGAUAAGUAAUGUGAAUUGCAGAAUUCAGUGAAUCAUCGAAUCUUUGAACGCACAUUGCGCCCGCCAGCAUUCUGGCGGGCAUGCCUGUUCGAGCGUCAUUUCAACCCUCGAGCCCCCCCGGGGGCCUCGGUGUUGGGGGACGGCACACCAGCCGCCCCCGAAAUGCAGUGGCGACCCCGCCGCAGCCUCCCCUGCGUAGUAGCACACACCUCGCACCGGAGCGCGGAGGCGGUCACGCCGUAAAACGCCCAACUUUCUUAGAGUUGACCUCGGAUCAGGUAGGAAUACCCGCUGAGCUUAAGCAUAUCAAUAAGCGGAGGA